UUUUCAUCGGAUGCAUCGAGAAUUCGACAAUUUUCCCGUAUAAAAUUAUAAGAGUGCGUACACAUUCGAGUAAACUUACAUGAUUUAAUAAAAACCCUUGGGCCAACGGAUUGUGUGUGUGUGUGGAAACUUGUAUGUACAACGUAAAUUUCUACUAUAUUAUAGCGUGGACGCGGCUUUAUAUAUUUUUUAGUUUUUAAAGAUAAUUGCAGUUGACGCAGUCAGGAGCUGUGCGGGGAUUCAAAUCGUUGAAAUAUGGAUACGCCAUCUGACAAAAAUAUUUUUAAUACAGUGAAUACAGAUUAAUGUGAUCACAUUGGUUCAAACCAUUUUGAUUCUAUUAACUAUUUGAUUUCAUAAGGCAUCUUUUUUUAAAUAUAGUACUUGGAUUGGGAUUUUCAUUUUUGAUUUCAAUAAAUGGUUGUUUCUAUAAACCAGUGAUCACAUUGAGCGGAACCUACUGUAACUUGAAUUUUCUAACUGAUUGUAGUGCGUAUAGGAACGAUCACUUAUACGAAGGAACAAUCAAAUACACUGUCUAACUUUGAUCCAGUUCAGUUAUUGUCAAUAGCUACCAUUUAAAUUAAGCAAGUGAUCCAUGAAUCUUGGAAGUUAUUCAAGAUUAAAAUUGUUGAUAAUAAAAUAUGUUAAUUUUUAACAGGCGUGGUCCAAGCAAAGUGGAUAAUAUGUUUAUAUGUUGUUUACCCAAGGCGCUAUAGAUAAAAUUAAACAUUAAAAAGCCAUACAAUUUCAAACUUUUUUAUUAUAUCCCUGUCAAAUUGUU